UGGCGACCGGCGCACGGGUGAGUAACACGUAUCCAACCUGCCGAUGACUCGGGGAUAGCCUUUCGAAAGAAAGAUUAAUAUCCGAUGGCAUAGUUCUUCCGCAUGGUAGAACUAUUAAAGAAUUUCGGUCAUCGAUGGGGAUGCGUUCCAUUAGGUUGUUGGCGGGGUAACGGCCCACCAAGCCUUCGAUGGAUAGGGGUUCUGAGAGGAAGGUCCCCCACAUUGGAACUGAGACACGGUCCAAACUCCUACGGGAGGCAGCAUG
rnacentral:rRNA from 1 species